ensembl:lncRNA
GACAAGGCUAGGUGGUUAGAGUGAUGAAGAGGAGGACAAGGCUAGGUGGUUAGAGUGAUGAAGAGGAGGACAAGGCUAGGUGGUUAGAGUGAUGAAGAGGAGGACAAGGCUACGUGGUUAGAGUGAUGAAGAGGAGGACAUUAGUUACAGGUUUAAAGUUUACAACUCUAUAUGAUGAGAGCGCUCUGGUUCUCCUUGUAGAUUCUCAUCCAUGCUAACGCUAAGUACAUGAUGAGAGAGCUCUGGUUCUCCUUGUAGAUUGUCA